rnacentral:rRNA from 1 species
UAGGGAAUCUUCGGCAAUGGACGGAAGUCUGACCGAGCAACGCCGCGUGAGUGAAGAAGGUUUUCGGAUCGUAAAGCUCUGUUGUAAGAGAAGAACGAGUGUGAGAGUGGAAAGUUCACACUGUGACGGUAUCUUACCAGAAAGGGACGGCUAACUACGUGCCAGCAGCCGCGGUAAUACGUAGGUCCCGAGCGUUGUCCGGAUUUAUUGGGCGUAAAGCGAGCGCAGGCGGUUAGAUAAGUCUGAAGUUAAAGGCUGUGGCUUAACCAUAGUAGGCUUUGGAAACUGUUUAACUUGAGUGCAAGAGGGGAGAGUGGAAUUCCAUGUGUAGCGGUGAAAUGCGUAGAUAUAUGGAGGAGCACCGGUGGCGAAAGCGGCUCUCUGGCUUGUAACUGACGCUGAGGCUCGAAAGCGUGGGGAGCAAACAGGAUUAGAUACCCUGGUAGUCCACGCUGUAAACGAUGAGUGCUAGGUGUUAGACCCUUUCCGGGGUUUAGUGCCGUAGCUAACGCAUUAAGCACUCCGCCUGGGGAGUACGACCGCAAGGUUG